UCAAUGAGUUUCAAGUCGGGCUGCAAAGCCAUGUAACUUACCACUGUUUGCGCUCGUUGUUGUCCUUCGGACUGAGCCAGCCGGAUGGACUAACCUAAACUCUUGUUAAUUUGCAAUCAGGUCUGAAUCAUAAUCUAAUAUUUA
rnacentral:misc_RNA from 1 species